CCGGCGAGAAGUUGUGAUUGUAAAAAUCGGGCACAAGGUUGUUGAAAACGAAAAUACAGAUCGUUUUAGAACGUUUGCAGCUUAUAUACUGUGAAGAGGAACAAGAACAUCUGGACAAAACAUGGACCUUAUGAGUAUGGCUUUGUACAUGUUGUCAUGGCUACUUAACAUCGUAUUUCUGAGAUUUGGCUUGGUGAAAUUAACUUCCUUUUUAUUUCCCAAAGUUAACCAACUAACGAGACGAAAUUACGAAGACUAUGCCACUGUGUUUCCCACUGCUUUAUUCGGAUACCAACCAUCACCAGAUAGAUACAUGUUUCUGAUCGGAGUUAUAGAGACGCUUGCCUCUUUCUUGCUUUUGCUGCCUUAUUCUGAUUUACAAAACUGGAUUUAUUUAGUAAUCUGUGUCAGGAUGGCGCUUGCAAUAUACACACAUGAUGUUCUAGAAGAAUACGUAAAAAUGACAUUUGCUAUUUGUCUUUUUCUAGCAAGUGUUGUGUUAUAUAAAGUAGGCCCUAUCGCCUUAACAAAACAGGAAUAAAAACGUACUUUAAAAAAAA